rnacentral:rRNA from 1 species
AGCAGCCGCGGUAAUUCCAGCUCCAAUAGCGUAUAUUAAAGUUGUUGCAGUUAAAAAGCUCGUAGUUGAAUUUCGGGGUUAGUAGGCUGGUCAUGCCACCGGUAUGUACUGGUCUUUCUGAUUCCUCCUUCCUGAUGAACUGUAAUGCCAUUAAUUUGGUGUUGCAGGGAAUCUGGACUGUUACUUUGAAAAAAUUAGAGUGUUUAAAGCAGGCUAACGCUUGAAUACAUUAGCAUGGAAUAAUGAAAUAGGACGCUCGAUCCUAUUUUGUUGGUUUCUAGGAUUGACGUAAUGAUUAAUAGGGAUAGUUGGGGGCAUUAGUAUUCAAUUGUCAGAGGUGAAAUUCUUAGAUUUAUUGAAGACUAACUACUGCGAAAGCAUUUGCCAAGGAUGUUUUCAUUAAUCAAGAACGAAAGUUAGGGGAUCGAAGACGAUCAGAUACCGUCGUAGUCUUAACCAUAAACUAUGCCGACUAGGGAUCGGAUGAUGUUAAUUUUUAAUGA